GGAGGUAGUGACAAUAAAUCACAAUGCGGAACUUUUAGUUUUGCAAUUGGAUUGAGAACAAUGUACAAAUGUUAUCGAUAAACAAUUGGAGGGCAAGUCUGGUGCCAGCAGCCGCGGUAAUUCCAGCUCCAAUAGCGUAUAUUAACGUUGUUGCAGUUAAAAAGCUCGUAGUUGAAAUGUGGGAUGAAGUAUAUAAUGAAUUUCUAAUUCAAUUCUAUAUUGAUUCCCCUCUCCAAUUUAUUAUUAUGGGUAUUAAUUUAUUUGUAAUAAGAAUUGGUCAUUUACUGUGAGAAAAUUAGAGUGUUCAAAGCAGGCAUUUGCUUGAAUAGAUUAGCAUGGAAUAAUACUAAAAGGCUUUUAUGGUCGAUUUAAUUGGUUUGUUCAUAAAAGCAAGAUUAAAAGGAACAGUUGGGGGUAUUCAUAUUCAAUAGUUAGAGGUGAAAUUCUCGGAUUUAUGGAAGAUGAACAAGUGCGAAAGCA
rnacentral:rRNA from 2 species